rnacentral:rRNA from 1 species
GGAAGAGAUAAGUGCUGAAAGCAUCUAAGCACGAAACUUGCCCCGAGAUGAGUUCUCCCUGAGACUUUAAGUCUCCUGAAGGAACGUUGAAGACGACGACGUUGAUAGGCCGGGUGUGUAAGCGCAGCGAUGCGUUGAGCUAACCGGUACUAAUGAACCGUGAGGCUUAACCUUACAACGCCGAAG